rnacentral:rRNA from 1 species
GGCGAGACUGUGAAGUGGAGCAAANCUCNGAAAUAACGUCUCAGUUCGGAUUGUAGUCUGCAACUCGACUACAUGAAGCUGGAAUCGCUAGUAAUCGCGAAUCAGCAUGUCGCGGUGAAUACGUUCCCGGGUCUUGUACACACCGCCCGUCACACCAUGGGAGUCGGAAAUGCCCGAAGUCGGUGACCUAACCGAGAGGGAGGAGCCGCCGAAGGCAGGUUCGGUAACUGGGGUGAAGUCGUAACAAGGUAAC